rnacentral:rRNA from 1 species
AUGUAUUACUAUAUUUUUAUAUUAUCAUUUUUGCUUAAUAGAACACCUGCAAAAUUAAAGAAAUAUAAAAACAUAAUAUAACUAUUAGGAAAAAUAAAUGGGAAAUUAUACAAUGAUAGUAAUACUUAAA